rnacentral:sRNA from 1 species
GACCUAAACUGCAAAGGAAUUUGUGGCAUGGUCAAAAACGCAGGACGAUAAAGAUCCCAUCAUCAGGAUCGCGUCCUGCGUCGUACGGGGAAACUCGUACGGACCCGCAAGGGUC